rnacentral:lncRNA from 1 species
GUUCAGUUAUGCUUGUGAAUGAAUGAAUAAAGGACUGAAGGGAGUUGUGGGGACAAGAAGUACUGGGAACUAACAUUUAUUUAUGAUCACUGUCAUUGUGCCAGGCAUGGAGCAGAGCUAACCUAUAUUAUCUCAUUUGAUUUUAUAAGACUAAUAAGAAUUUUAUGUUCUUCAUUUUACAGAAGGAAAAAUUAAACCAGAGGAACUAUCUUGUCAUUCAGCCAUCAGACAUAGAGCCUGGCUUCAAACUCAACUCUCAUUCCAAAACGUGUGUUGAUUUCAAGACAACAUGUCACAAUAGUAAAAAAGUCACGAUGGGUUGGGUGCUACAGCAAAGGCGUCGAGGAAGUUCACCUUAGAGCUGUCGGUGCGGGACUUCCGCCCCGGGUCUGCGUGGUUCAUCACCCCUCCGCUUCAGCACCGUCCUCUCUUUCCUUUGGACCUUUCCC